GACCACAUCUUACUGCCAACGUCAUUCCCCAAUCUCUUUGAGCUCGACGGAGAUAGCGAGGUGAUUUCGUCUGCGGCGGCGCUCCUUCCACGCUGGAGCGAGGCCAAGCGCCCGGCGAAGAAUUGAGCAAAUUCUCCCUCUGCAAAGCUCACGGGCACCGAGUUCUUCGGAGAUCUUGUGCCAAGUUUGAAACGUCUGGCGGAAAUAUGCAGCGGCGGGGAGGAGGUAGAGGCAGUCGUUGGGUGUUCAACCAUGGUGCCGGAGAUAGCCACAGCGCUGAAUCAAAAGGCUCGGGCACACAGGCUACCUGCAGAGGCGUCCCCGACAAGUUGCUUGAUGCAGAUAGAUCCGUCAAUGGAGGCGAAAUGGGGGAAACGGCUGUCAUCUCUUGAUGGAAAACGAAGGGUCAUCCAAGUCCUAUGGAUGAUAUUCAACCAGCUGUAAAAAGUGCCUUCACGAAGGCUUCCAAGCAAGGAACUAGUUAUCCGAUCAGCAGAUCAAAUAAAUAUCUCAGGCAGGAAACACAAACUUUAAAACGAGUGGCAACACUCCUGGAGCCAUUUGAUGAGAGUUUGCCUGACAAAAGUGGAGUAGCAUCAGCUAAAAGUGUUGAAGAAGAAGCUUUUGAUGCUGAAAAUGAUGCGAGCGGGAUUGCCAGGUGCAGAAAGAGUUUUACCAAGCAUGGCGGAUGAUGGUGGUGCAGCAAGAUGCCACUAACAUUGAAUUAGGGAUGAGCUACUGAUUAAUAUAUUGGUAUCCCAUUGAUUAAUUAGUGGGGGUAGAUAUUUUCUACAAUGUUCAUUAAUGAUGAACUUUGCCUCAUCCAAGAGUAUGUAAGAUUUUUUUUUGGAAAAUCAGAUGUAUCAUGCAAUUUUUUAAAUGGAAGCAUUGAUGAAACGUCAGCGUAUGCUGUCAUACUAUCUUACCACCGGAAAAUAUAUGAAAUUUAUUUGGGUUGUUAGCAUUUC